UCGAACGAGGUCCAUGGAGCUUGCUCCGGAAGACCUAGUGGCGAACGGGUGCGUAACACGUGAGAAAUCUGCCCCGGACUCUGGAAUAACAGCUGGAAACGACUGCUAAUACCGGAUGCCUUCAUUUGGCCGCAUGGUCGUUUGAAGAAAGAUUUAUCGGUUUGGGAGGAUCUCGCGGCCUAUCAGCUUGUUGGUGAGGUAACGGCUCACCAAGGCAUCGACGGGUAGCUGGUCUGAGAGGAUGAUCAGCCACACUGGAACUGAGACACGGUCCAGACUCCUACGGGAGGCAGCAGUGGGGAAUCUUGCACAAUGGGCGAAAGCCUGAUGCAGCGAUGCCGCGUGCGGGAAGAAGGCCCUAGGGUUGUAAACCGCUUUCAGGAGGGAAGAAAAUGACGGUACCUCCGGAAGAAGGUGCGGCCAACUACGUGCCAGCAGCCGCGGUGACACGUAGGCACCAAGCGUUAUCCGGAUUUGUUGGGCGUAAAGAGCUCGUAGGCGGUUUGGUAAGUCGGGUGUGAAAACUCUGGGCUCAACCCAGAGAGGCCACUCGAUACUGCUAUGACUAGAGUACGGUAGGGGAGCGGGGAAUUCCUGGUGUAGCGGUGAAAUGCGCAGAUAUCAGGAGGAACACCAGCGGCGAAGGCGCCGCUCUGGGCCGUAACUGACGCUGAGAGCGAAAGCAUAGGUAGCAAACAGAUUAGAUACCCUGGUAUCCAUGCCGUAAACGUUGGCACUAGUGUGGGUCUCAACCAACGAGAUCCGCGCCGUCGCUACGCAUUAAGUGCCCGCCUGGGAGUACGGUCGCAAGACUAAAACUCAAAGGAAUUGACGGGGCCCGCACAAGCAGCGGAGCGUGUGGUU
rnacentral:rRNA from 1 species